UCCUCUGUAGUUCAGUCGGUAGAACGGCGGACUGUUAAUCCGUAUGUCACUGGUUCGAGUCCAGUCAGAGAGCC
rnacentral:tRNA from 1 species